AAAAUAAUUUGAUUUUGGUGCACUGUUUUAGUUUUAUCGCAGUCUUUCUCAACAACAAAAUUGUUUGUUAUUAAACGCAUCAUUUUCCAAAACUAAAUUAUGCUGUAUUACGCCAAGAGUUACAAGGAAAAUAAAUCAUCUUAACAUUGAAGAAGAUCAAAUAUGACCGUCACGUUGCCAUGGCGUGGGCGCAUUAAUACAGAGAUCGGACCCUUUUUAGUUAACCUGCCCUAGGCAGGUGGCGAUGCCUCAACUUUCCAGAGCCUUCGUCGAUGGCCUGAGGGCACGUUACCGCGACCUGCAGUGUGACCUCUCAGAGACGGCGUCCCACUCGGUCACUCUUGAGUCCUCAACGACAUUCAGCUCUCGCAGCACAAAGUCGAGAAAGGCACUAGCCGGGAAAAGGACGGCUAGCGACUCGGGCAGCAAGAGAUUCAGCACUUAUGGCGGUAAGAGGUCGAGGUCCAAAUCACUGGCACCAGGCGCGGAGAAUUUACCGAAUCUGAAGUCUGACGACAAAGAUGCAAGUUCCAAGGAUAGUGCUGGUGAGGCAAAGAAGGAGGGGUUCGCUGCCAAAAUAAUGGCUCUUCUCAGUCGUAUAUGUCCGUGUAUGAAGAAGAAGUAACCACGUCCCAUUCGAAAAGGCCGCUAUUCCGCAGAACCAUCCUCUCAAAAUGAGGUGCGUGUAUUAUUGCGAUGGAGUUGGUUUUUAUUGUUUUUGUUGAGUGUUAUGUUUUUAUUGCAAUGUUCCAUUUUAAUAAAACAAAGGCUGAGUAAAUGCCAGUUUGAACAUGCCAGCUACGAUCACCGUAACAUUUCCUAAAUGAUCUAACUUCAUUUAUUUAUAAAUUCACUUUUUAUGAUUAAGUUUCUACAAGAUAGCGAUAGAGCAUAGUGCAUAAAGCGUAUAGCAAAAAGUGCUGUUACGUGAAAAGCGAGUAACAUGAUAAUCUUCUGCACGUUUCUAGAUCAAUAAAAUCAAGACCUCUUUGGGAGGUUUUUGCAAAGUUUGUCGUGUUUUCGGAUCAAAUUACGUCGUAAUUUUAAUUUACACAGCUUUGCGCCAAUCCACUUCAAAUAAGUGCCAUUAUUGAUAUUUCACUCAUCUUCCUUAAAAAUAGAAGAAGCGCUAAAGCAAAGUUUUUAUCAUUGGGUUGUAAUGCCAAGUUUAUCCCCAGCGCCAAUUCAUCGGACAGCAUCAAACACAGUUUGCAGACCGUCUAUCGCUUCUUUACGUCACAUCUGUCAAGACUGCCUGGUCAGCGGCGCUGUCUGUGUUUCGCCAGCUCUACCUCAGACUUUCUGCCAUCCGUUCUCACUCCAAGCCAUGAUCUGCCGAUGUGGGAUCUGUCGUCGUCUGUUCGCCGCCCUUUGUCCCUGCUUCCCAGCCUGCUGCUACCUCUGCCGCCGCGCGCGGCGACCGAAGCGCCGCGUGGUGGUCGAAACGCGAACUGUUGACCCGGCCCUCUACACGGUUCCACCGGAGGCAAAUCAAGGUCCUCAGAAUGAUCGCAGUGACCCCAGCGAACCCCGAGAGCCCAUCGCGCCCCUGGAAAACGUAACAGCAGUGGUGACCGCCGAGAUGAAGGAAGAAAAACCGAGAAAACGUUGGGAUCAAAACCGGAAACCUGCCUGGACGCAGCAGAGAUCUGGUCAGGGUGUCACCUGAAGUGAGCGCUCAGAUGACUGAAUUUCAAGUCACCAAGAUCUUCGAAGCUCGGGUUUACGGGAGCUGCUGCGACCUUUCUUGGGACCAUGCCUCGUGUGAUCGCCAUAUCAGAGGUUUUCCUUCGUCUCGAGCAAGGCUCGACUAUUUGGAUACGAGUGUGGAUGUUGCAAAAGAGUGCAAGGACUGGUGUGUUGAAGUCGGACAUUACGCCUUUCUAUAUCUUAGAACGGUGAAUGACGAUUGGAGAAUUUGGUGUCUGAUGAUCGACCAGCUAGGUUAGAUUUGUGUAUCCAGAUAUCAAGUUGCACAGAAACAGAAACCGUCAGUUUAAGUGCUAUGGUAAAGUGAAUUAACUAAAGCGUUAAGCAGACUGUGCUAAAAAGUGAUUCAACUUAUCGACUUCUUGGCAGUCUGUUUCGGGCUUGCUGCACAGUGGAAUCAUUCUAGCGCUUUAAUGUACUGGCUUUCCUGUAAACUGUAAAGUGUUUUUUUCUGUAAAGUCUUGUUCGUCGUUCUUGUGUUUUGGUUUGCUCCGUCCUCGGUUAUAGUUCUCGUUGCUGUUUUUAAGAAUUCAACCUCUGUUCUACAUCGUGUUUAAUCAUUCAUGAGAUAAACUGUGGCACGAGAA